UUGCAGAUGAAAGGGUGAAAAGUCCACAGCACAAAUGAUAGAAAGAGACAGGUGAACACUGUUUCACUGAUAUAGCCUUUAUCUUGUCCAAGCUCCGGAAGGAGAAAGAACCCUGCGUCCUGCAAUGUUGGCCCUGGCCGAUGUAGAUAAUGAACUCCUCGGGCAGCCAAACCAUGUAUAUACUGAAAAAUUAGACAAGCAAGAAUGAAUUUCCAAUUUUCGAAAAGUAGGUUGAUCUCUGUGGUAGUCUCUGCACAAAUUCUCUUCCAAAGCUUCGAAGCCUCUCGACCAAUGUAAAUCGUCAUAUUGUAGUGCUUGUUGUUGUUGGGUAACCACCAGUUCCAUAGUGCUUCACAGCACAACUGUUGAUGUCAACAUCACCAUUUCUCAGAAAACAUUCAUCCAAUCAGUCCAAAAGUUGCAAAUAAUUU
rnacentral:misc_RNA from 1 species